UCGCCUGCAUGAAGUCGGAAUUGCUAGUAAUCGCAGAUCAGCAUGCUGCGGUGAAUACGUUCCCGGGCCUUGUACACACCGCCCGUCACACCAUGGGAGUCGGUAACACCCGAAGUCGGUAGUCUAACCGAAAGGAGGACGCCGCCAAGUGGGAUUGAUGACUGGGGUGAAGUCGUAACAAGGUACC
rnacentral:rRNA from 1 species